AAACCGUCCCCUAAGUUUUGCAACUGUAGCAGUUUUGGCACCCCAAGGUCAAUUUUUGAUAAAAAAAAAUAACACGUGGCACCUCAUUUAGGGUGCCACGUCAGCGUAGACCGAGUCAAAAUUAGUUUUGGGGGCCAAAACUGCCACAUAUGCAAAAUUUAGGGGACGGUUU
rnacentral:pre_miRNA from 1 species